ACAAUAUCCAAACUCAAAUGGAGUCCUCAUUACUAUUAUUAUCACAUUAUUUCAUAGAAUAGUGAGGACUACUAUGACACUAUAUCGGACCAUCAUUCCGUUCCCCAACUAGUCCCGGCUAUGUUCUCAUUUCCUGAAGAGAACAAUGAAAGGAAAAGGGUAAGCUCAACUAGCCCAGUAAGAAAUAUUAUGACUAAGAUAAUGCAGAAUAAAUUAUCGUUAGCCUUCAACGGUGUUAAACUGAUAAAAUACAAUAAACAUCAAGUUUAAUUGCAGCAAAACAAGCAAUCCAUUAGAAGAGUCAAGUAGAGCAUGAUAUCUACUAUCUUCUAUGAUUUAAAAAGUUUAUCAUCAAUUUUAUCGCUGAGACUCAGCUUAAUAAAUAAUCCACAUCACUGAAUUAUCCAUGCACUACGGGCCAAGGAUAUUCAUUAGUAUCACGACCACGAAUUAUCCAUGCACUACGGGCCAAGGAUAUUCGUGUUUUCACCAAUGGUCAUGAUCAUGUCAACCACUGUCUAUCAAUGCACUACGGGCCAAUGAAGACUUUUACCACAUCAUUUGUAACAUUACGGUCAUGAUUAUACCAAAUUAUCCCUGGUCAUAAUCAUACCAAUCAACACUCCAUUUAUGCACGUAAGUCAUAGAUGACUUUCACCACAAUAUAAACAUGAGGAUGAUGACAAUGAUAUAAGAAUUCCAUUAAAAGAAAACAAAGGAUAAAUUUUUAAAUAUUUAAUAUUUAAUUUAUCUAGAAUUCAAUAAUGUCCAAAUUGUCAACAUGAUGCUGCUUUGUGGAGUAAAAUUCAAGAAUAAUAUUGUUUCAAAAUGAUUUGGAUAGAAAUCAAUUUUUGUCAUGAAUAGUUCCCCGGGUGAAUAGUACCUGAGUGAAUAGUAUCACGUGAAUAGUACUUCGUCAAUAGUACCCGUGAAUAGUACCCAUGAAUAGUACUUUGUGAAUUAGUACCCCAUGACUAGUAUUCCGGCAUAACAAGAUCAAUAAUUAUCAAGAAUGCUCAUAAUAAUAUUUUCAUGAAAAGAUAUUGGAUGAAGUGCAAAUAUCAAGGAUAUUCUACUAAUUUCACGGAGUAUAGAAGCAAUAAUUUAACAGAAUGAGUGUAGAAUUAGGAAUACGAAACUAAAUAAUACUACUCACAUACUAUAGAAUAUGGAAGAAAAUAUUAUUUCUUACGAAUAUGAUAAGUGGAUUUUAUAUAUACUUAUCCGGUAUCUAUUACUUGAAUUAGUUGCUUAAACUCAUGUUUCUUAGUUACUUUUCAUGCAUUUUGUGUUCAUGUUGUAGGUUAUAUGUUUGGGAACGGUGUGAGCGACUAUUGGUAAGGAAAAGCAAGGAAAUCGCAAAGAAUUGGUAGGAAACACAAAGAAAAGCAACCGGAUAUCGUUUGUGCUUUCAUGUUAAUUUCAUGUUCUUGGCUUGGAACUUGGCUUACAUUGUAGAGCAUCUUCGUAGCUUUUCGAAACAUCUUGAAUCAUUCCAAUCGGAGUUUGGAUGCAAGAGUUAUGACAUUUGUAUCAACGGACGUUGAAUUUCGCUGUUUUGGGUGGUCAUUUGCAUAGCAGUCACUUCCAGUCCAAUUUCGACCUUCAUCCGUUCGUUAUUUCUCAAAACUCAAAGAAUGAAAGUUGUAGAGCUCGUCGAUAUGUUCGAUUUGAUUGGUGGCAGGCCCCGUAACUCUUUCCAGAUCAAAAGUUAUGGCCAUUCUACCAGAGGACACUGCAGUAGAAAAAUAAUUAGCAGCUUCUUCUAUCUUUGUCGUUUAAUGUGUAUUCAAUUGUGGAUUCUUAGUUUUAAUUCAAUAAUCAUGAACUAAUUCUUUGUUUGAGGUUACUAUGGAUCUUAUUUUGUAGUUUACUUUGAUAUGCUUCUUUGUUAGUGUUAUUAGCUAUAUUUGGAUUGUCUAUUAUGAUUUGGACUUAAUUGCUUAAUUGCCUAGCUAACAAUUACCGUGAUAAUCUAUAUGAACUCGAAAGAUGAAGUAUAGAUUUAGAUCUGAUUAUGAUAGCAUGUGUUCAUGAUUUUGUGAAUAACUUAAUCUUGAUGAAUGUUAAGGUAGAGAUAUGCUUAACAUCGCAUGUAAUCGGAUAGAGAACUUAUUCUUAAACCUUCUUCAAUUGUAAUUCACAUAGAGAUAUAGUGGGUUAGUUGAUUAAGGUGUUUAACGGAUUUCUAUCUUAAUUGUGGAUUGACGUUAAUACGGUAUUAGUGCAUCGAGAGGUGGUUAAUACUACAUUCGUGUUCUUGAUUAACAAUCCAGUAUAGAUAACUUGGCUUAACAGGAAGUGUGUUAACUUAAAUAAAACAAUAAGUGAAAUUGUAAUCUCAAGUCUUCAAUAUCUUGUUUCAUUCUAGGGAUAGUUAGUAAUAGUUUAUUUAACUAUUUUAAAUUAAAUUAUUAAAUCAUUCGUUUAAAUAAGAUUAAAUUGGUUAUAUGUUAGUACUUGGUAAUUCUUGUUAACUAAUUCUCUGUGGGAACGAUACUCAACUUAUCACUUUAUUACUUGUUGACCACAUAUACUUGCGUGUUGUGCGUAACUAGAUUUUACCCAACAAGUUGUUGGCGCCGCUGCUGGGGAAUUAGUUUAAUAUUUUUUUACCAAUAUUAGCUUCAAUCAAAUUAGUCUUAAUUUAAAUAUUUUUAGUUUUAUUUUUAAUUCUCUUCCUAUAUUUCUCUCUUUUCAGGUACCAUGAAUGACUUUACGUAUCAAUAACCAUACACAAACAUGACUCAACCAAGUGAAACAGGGAAUGAUGGACUUAAUACAUCUUCUAUAGAGCCAAUACAAAGUGAGGCAACUUCGAAGACGUUGGAGGUUAGCGCAGCCCAACGGAGUCGAAGGAUGGCAAGAAUGACUCAGCCAAGGGGGGCGGAGAUUGACAGACUCACGACACUUUCCGCAAUGUCAGCACAGAUGGAGAACUUUUGAGGAGGUUGGACGUUAUUGCAGCCCAACAGAGUCGAAGGAUGGCAGUUAUGUGUGACUAUUGUGCUGGCAAUCACCCGAGUAAUCAAUGCACCAUCAAUCUUGGGCCAGUACAGUAUGGUGGUAACUACCUCAAUCAGUAUGCAUAUGAUAAUUAUGAUCAAGUUUGGGGGUAUCACCCGGAUUUUUCAUGGAGCCAUACUCAUCAAGAUCAAUUUUAUGCUCAAAGUCCAACAUACACGACAGAAUUCUCAUAUCCACCUCCAAGGCGACAAGAAGUCAGUUCAGAGUUUAAAGAAUUCAUGUUAAGGAGUAUAGCAGAAACAGAAGAGCUGAUAAGGAGUCAGGAGCUGUCAAUCCAAAAUUUUAAUAAAUGGAUGGAACAACGUUUCACAACCUCAACCAAUGGUCUUCAAUACAUGGCUUCCGAGACUGAAACAAAAAAUUCAAGGCUGGGGGAAUUAUUGUCCAAGUUCAUAGUAGAUGAGGAGAAGAUGAGUAAUCAAGCGCGGGAAAGUUAAAAUCUUGCGAAUCAAAUAGAGCAAAUGACCAAAGACGUAAGCAACCUUCCUCCAAACACUUGGCUUUAUGACAUGGAUGACGAAAUUGAUGGAGAACUUGAACCAAAUCUGCAACUGGAUGAGCCAUAAGAUAUAAGAAGUGUGGAGACAAUUGGGGAUAAUGAAAUAGAGGUCCACGAAGAUCUAAAUGGGUCUCCACCAAAGAUCAAAGAGUCGGUCAGAUUUGUAAAAUCAUACCCACUUGGUAGUCAUGUCGUCGACGAAGCUCUUGUUGACAUAAGAGUGAGUACAAUUUUCAAUCCAUGGUGGGAAGAGAAAGAGAAGAUAGACGAAGAGCCCAUUGUGUGUGACAAGCUUCCAGGCCCCAAAGUGAUCACAUACACAAUGGAGAAAACACCUAGUUGUGGGACGUUCUUGAUUGAGAUCAUACCAAAUCAGAGCAUGCUAGGUGACUUUGAUGCAUUGGCCAUCGUAAAUGGGAACCUACCAAAAGUUAUAUUAUUUCCAAUGGAUGGAGGGUUCCUCAACUUUCGAAAAGGAAUUGGAUAGCGUUGACCAGACAAAGUCAGGCUGAAAGACUAUAAGCCAAGCACUGACUGGGAGGCAACCCAGGAAUUUUUCUAUUUAUAUGCUUUACUAGUUUAUUUAGUAGAUAGGAAUUUUGCUUAUUAAGCUCUCUUAUAAUCUAAUCCAUGUUGUCUCUCUUCAUUGCAGGUAUUGGAGGUUCAAUGGAUAAGAAAAUGAUCGUCGCCGCCAUCGCUGCCAUCACCUCACGCUUAGCUGAUUACAGGGAAGUUCGCUUCUACUUAUCGCUAUAUUCUUACAAUGAGGACAUUGUAAUUGCUAAGUUUGGGGGAGUUUAGUUUAGAUCUUCAUUGCAUGUUUAGUUUCAUGUUUAUGUUAUGUUAUUUUGCAUUUGUUGUUAAUUUAGUUUAGGUUCAUUUUUAUUAUAAAAAAAAAAAUCAAAAAAUUCAAAAAUUCAAAAAUAAUAGUUAGUUAUUAUGUUCAUCUUGCAUGAUUCCAACUGUUAGAUAUUUACAAUUUGUUUUGGCCAAUGAUGAGAUUGGAAUUGGGUAGAAAAGUUUAGUACUGACUAUUAGAGCUUUGAUAUGAUUUCUUGUUAGGAAUUGAAUCUUUUCCUGUUUGAAACUGGUAUAAUCAAGGUUAGCACAAUAAAAACAACUUGUUGAUUGAUUGAGUUUAAAUUGAUACAUAAUGGGACUCUAAAGGAUAAUGCUAGUUUAAAUGAAAGAAUGACAAGAAUAAGUAGUGAUGGUUAAAGUUAGACAAGAACCUAAGUUUGGGGGAAUAUUUGGGGUACAUAAGCUAUAUAUAAAAAAUAAAAAAUAAAAAUAAAAAGAAAAAAAAUAUGAAUAAACAUCGUGGCGUGCUUAUCUAGUUUUGUGGCCUUUGUUACUUGAGUAAGUAAGCCCGAGAGGAUUGUCUUUACACCUAGCGCCCUAAGGUCUUAAUGGUCUGGGAAUCGUUGGUCGAAAGCUCGUUAAGGUAGCAUUGAAAAGCCUAAGGGAAUAAGACAUUGCAUAGCUAUGUGUAUAUAAACCAAAAAGAAAAAAAAAAUAAUAAAACGAAAAAAGAGCAAAAAGCCCCCGUAAUGAAAAAUAAAGCAUAAAUAUCUCAUGUUGACCCUCGAUAUUGGUAAUUGUUUGAUUUUAGUUGGAUCUAGCUUGUUUUUGAAUUUCUUGAGUUUACAUUGUAUGAUGCCUUCAAAGAGACUUGUUAUGUGUUAAAUUUAAUUUUAUAUCAGUUAAAAUUGUUGUGGAGCACACAUGCACUAUACCAGUAAUAACAGUUUAAGACUUGAUGAUGGAUUAGGAAGUUAUUGAUGAGUUUUGAUAAGAUGUAUUAUCAUGUUUACUUGAUUUCUCUAAGGCCGGUUAAAUAGACUUGAGUGUAUCAAUACUGCUGGAUUCAUAGACAUAUAGAUUAGUUGCAUUUCAUUUCAUUGCAUUGCAUUAUGUUGUGUUACUUGGGGACAAGCAACGGUUUAAGUUUGGGGGUAUUUGAUAUGUGAAUUUUAUAUAUACUUAUCUGGUAUCUAUUACUUGAAUUAGUUGCUUAAACUCAUGUUUCUUAGUUAUUUUUCAUGCAUUUUGUGUUCAUGUUGUAGGUUAUAUGUUUGGGAGCGGUGUGAGCGACUAUUAGUAAGGAAAAGCAAGGAAAUCGCAAAGAAUUAGUAGAAAAACGCAAAGAAAAGCAAUCCGAAUAUCCUUUGUGCUUUCAUGUUCAUUCCAUGUUCUUGGCUUGGAACUUGGCUUACAUUGUAGAGCGUCUUCGUAGCUUUUCGGAACAUCUUGAAUCAUUCCAAUCGGAGUUCGGAUGCAAGAGUUAUGACAUUUGUACCAACGGACGUUGAAUUUCACUGUUUUGGGUGGUCAUUUGCAUAACAUUCACUUCCAGUCCAAUUUCGACCUUCAUCCGUUCGUUAUUUCUAAAAACUCAAAGAAUAAAAGUUGUAGAGCUCGUCGAUAUGUUCGAUUUGAUAGGUGGCAGGCCUCGUAACUCUUCCCAGAUCAAAAGUUAUGGCCAUUCUACCAGAGAACACUGCAGCAGAAAAAUAAUUAGCAGCUUGCACCCAAGCCGGGGCUUGCUCUUUUGUGCCUUAUACCCAAGCCGGGGCUUGGGGUCCAGAGUGCGAAAUCAGUAGCAUAGCAAGCCGGGACUUGCUAUUUACAAGGCAAAUAGCAAGCUGGGGCUUGGGUAUGCGUAGAAAGAGUAGAUUUUGUCCGAAUUUGAGUCCAAUAAGGAUUUAUUCGAGUUGUUUGAUUCAAGGACUUUCAAGAAGACUUAAAGACAUAUAAAGAGGCUUAUAAAAGGAGGAGAUUUACAAGGAUUAGAGGAAGUUAGAGGAAGAAUUCCAUUAUAUUAGAUUAGAGUAGAUUGGGAAAAAACCCUAGUUAUUAUGAAAUUUGGAGAUUGAAGCAACUUGGAGACCAUUGAAGAUUCAAAGUAGGAGCAAGGAGAGAGCAUCAAAUCUACAGACAAUAGAUUAUAUCUUCUCAUCUUCUUCUAUCUUUGUCGUUUAAUGUGUAUUCAAUUGUGGAUUCUUAGUUUUAAUUCAAUAAUCAUGAACUAAUUCUUUGUUUGAGGUUACAAUGGAUCUUAUUUUGUAGUUUACUUUGAUAUGCUUCUUUGUUAGUCUUAUUAGUUAUAUUUGGAUUGUCUAUUAUGAUUUGGACUUAAUUGCUUAAUUGCCUAGCUAACAAUUACCGUGAUAAUCUAUAUGAACUCGAGAGAUGAAGUAUAGAUUUAGAUCUGAUUAUGAUAGCAUGUGUUCAUGAUUUUGUGAAUAGCUUAAUCUUGAUUAAUGUUAAGGUAGAGAUAUGCUUGACAUCGCAUGUAAUCGAAUAGAGAACUUAUUCUUAAACCUUCUUCAAUUGUAAUUCACAUGGAGAUAUAGUGGGUUAGUUGAUUAAGGUGUUUAACGGAUUUCUAUCUUAAUUGUGGAUUGACGUUAAUACGGUAUUAGUGCAUCGAGAGGUGGUUAAUACUACAUUCGUGUUCUUGAUUAACAAUCCAGUAUAGAUAACUUGGCUUAACAGGAAGUGUGUUAACUUAAAUAAAACAAUAAGUGAAAUUGUAAUCUCAAGUCUUCAAUAUCUUGUUUCAUUCUAGGGAUAGUUAGUAAUAGUUUAUUUAACUAUUUUAAAUUAAAUUAUUAAAUCAUUCGUUUAAAUAAGAUUAAAUUGGUUAUAUGUUAGUACUUGGUAAUUCUUGUUAACUAAUUCUCUGUGGGAACGAUACUCAACUUAUCACUUUAUUACUUGUUGACCACGUAUACUUGCGUGUUUUGCGUAACUAGAUUUUACCCAACAGAAUACUGAACAAAAAUAAUAUCCCUUACCUUAGAAGAAGACUGGAUACUGGAAUAGUGAAGUAGUUAAAUACUCUUCUUCUUUCUCUCUAUAGCUUCUCUCUCUAUAAUUGCUCUUGUGAGUCUUAGUGAAUUAGUGAGAAUGAAAGAAAAAUGAACUUCUAUUUAUAAGAAAUUAUAGUUUUGAUAAUUGCACGUUUUGAGACUCAAAAUACUACAGUAUAAUACCUUCAUCUUUUUCUUCAUUUUUAAUCUAGUCCUGCAAGUAUUAUCAAACUUUCACCACCUCCCUUAAUAGUACAUGUAUGUGAAUCAAUAGUACAUUCAUGUGAACAAAUAGUUAGAAGCAUGUGAAUUAAUAGCAAUUAAUUGCUUAUUUAUCCGAUUAAUUAUCCGAUUGGUCAAUAUAACAUCCAGAAAUCAAUUAUUAUCGAAAUAAAUAUCAAUUUCCAUUAACACUAAUAAUCCCAACAAAAUGGAAAUAUCAAUUUCAUCUUUAAUCAACACAAUUCAUCAUUAAUAUUAUAACUCACAAUAUUUAACAACCAGAUCAUUCCCAAGAAAGAGGGGACUUUCCGAUAAAGAUUUCUCCCUAUUGGCGCGCAAUUAGGUGAUCAAACCUCUACUCGACAAAACUUUCUAGACAUCGUCAAUAUUGCAAAUAAUAAUAUGAAUAACUUUGUCGUCUCAAUUAUUGAUUUAAUAAUAAUAAAUAUUAUGCAGAUGAUACUGUGACAAUAAUUGAAUCAAUAAUAUAAGAGAUAUUAUGCAGCAAUUACUGUAGAAAUAAUUCAGUAUAACUAAGUGACUUCUCAUGUAAGCAUCAAUAAUCAAUACCGUGUGCUACUAUGCAACCACGCGUAUUAUUAUACUUUUACUACCGAGUAGUUCAACAGUUUAACGGUAAAACUUUCACCGUUAUUUUUAUAAAAAGAUAUUUCUGUCGUUUUCUAACUACGACAAUACUUUCGUUGUGGGGUCCACCAAUGAUUAUGCCGUCGUACGAAUAUUCCCUGUUAAAACGAAUAUUCCCCGACCAAUCGAAUAUUUUAUAACAAUUUGCUUACUUUGAAAAAUUUAUAAAUAUUACCCACAACUAUAACAUUAUAUCAAAUCCACACCAUAAUAUUCAAAAAUAUAUUUCGAGAAAAAUUAAGCUUUAUUCAUAAAAGUUGGGGUCUUACAAUAUGUAUCUAACUAUAUUGAUCGUUUAUGAUUAUAUUUUGUAUUUACAUCGUACGACUUUUAUCUAUAAGUCAUUACGUUGUUUAAAUAUUUGAUGGUUGAUAUAGCAAAAGCUAUUAUUGUUAUUGAUAUGAGUUCGUGAAGAAUUAUUUGUUUUUCUUUAGUUUAUAACAGGUACAAUUAUGUAUAUGUAAAUGAACAGGGGUAUUUUGCAUUUUUUUCAAUUUAUUUUUAAAAAAAACAUCAUUGGCAACGGGGUAGGGUCAUUGGCGAUGGCCUUGCCGCCGAUAUUGACUGUUUUAUUAUUUUUCUGAAAUAAUUAUUACUGACGGUCUUUCCAUUGCCAAUGUCGUCGCUAAUGACCCAUUACCGACGUACAGGCGUCGACAAUGCCUCCCGUCGGUAAUGACACACUUGCCGACGGCGAGCGACGGGAACCAAGGGCGACGACCUAUACGACGAUGUGAAUGACGACAGACAAUGCCAAUGACCUCAUUGCCGACGUCAAGAGAGUCAUUGGCGACGGCAUUGUCCGUCGGCAAUGACCUUUUUUUUGUAGUGAUAGGGAUAUCACAAAAUGAAUUGAAUUGAAUAUUUUUAUUUGAUCACUUGAAAAAGGGCUUAUAAAUACCUUGAAUUUCUGUUAACAACUCAAGUGAAUUUAAUAAUUGGAUAAAUUAGGUAAGUGAUUUAUAUUGCAUAAUUGAGGAUAUUGUAGUCUUAAGCCUUUAUCAUAUGAAUCAACUCUCUAUGUUAAAAUUAGUUUAAUUAGUUUAAUUCAGUUUUUAAUUAAUAAUCACAAAUUUUGGUUAUUUAAAUAAAAUUGAAUUAAUAUAAAACUAGUAAUUGGGAUUUGUUAAAUAGAGAUUCCUGUGGGUUCGACACUCUAUCUUAUCACUUUAUUACUUGUUGACCGUAUAUACUUACAAGCAUUUAUUAAUUGUCAAAUCGAGCAACAAGUUUUUGGCACAGCUGCCAAGGAAUCUGUAUUUAAUAUUUAAUUUCAUAUUAGUUAUAAUCAAUUCGAUCUUAAUUUAAAUAUUUUAUUUUAUUUGUUUCUUUCUUCUUGCAAGUUUUUCCAUCCGUGUAUGCACACUAGGUCAAAGGGUAAGGGGGAAAUUUUUCCAUAUGCAAACGAUAUUGAAAAAAAGUUCCGAAAACUAAGGUUAACUAGUGAGGAAGUACAUAUGGAAGAAGAACUGGCAUAGGAAACUAUAAAUCCAGUAAACAUGGUUGUAGAUGAGCAGAAAUCAUUGUGAGAUUAUGCCACACCAUUGGUUACAAAUAUCCAUUCUAGUAUUCAGAGGUCUGCUAUUAAUGCAAACAGUUUCGAGAUCAAACCAGGUACCAUUUAGAUGCUACAAAAUUUAGUGCAGUUUGGGGGUGGUCUGAAUGAUGAUCCAAAUGAGCACAUUGUCAGCUUUCUGAAAAUCUGCGAUAUGUUCAAAUUUUAUGGGAUUACCGAUGAAGCAGUUAGGUUUAGACUUUUUCAAUUUACACUUCGCGAUAAGGCAAAAAGUUGGUUGCACUCUUUCCUGUCGGGAUCAAUUACUACCAGGAAUGAUUUAUUUCAAAAGUUUCUUGCUAAGUUCUUCCUAUCAGCGAAACCGACAAAAAUGAGGAAUGACAUUACCUCAUUCAAUCAUCUUGAUUCAGAAACAUUUUAUGAGGUGUGUGAAAUAUUUAAAGAUCUGCUUCGUAAGUGUGCAAAUCAUAGGAUCCCGAAAUGGUUGUAGGUACAAAUGUUCUAUAAUGGAUUAUAUGGGCCCACGAGAACUAGUAUUGAUGCAGCGACUGGAGGUACUAUAAUGGGAAAAAAAAUUCGAGGAUGCUUACCACUUAUUAGAGACUAUGGCUGCGAACAACUACUAGUGACCUACAGCAAGAGGAAAUGCACCGAAAGUAACAGGAAAAUUAGAAGUAGAUGCAGUGAUAACCUUAUCUGUAAAGUAAGCUGCACUAACUAAAAAGAUUGAAACAUGGAGACCACAAGCUACUCCACAGGUGGUGAUGAUAUGCGAACUUUGCGCCAGAAAUCAAGCUACGAAUCAGUGUGCCAUCAAUGCAGAGUCAAUACAAUUUUUAGAGAGUUAAAUAGACCAUCACAACCAUAUUAGAUUGGGUGAAUCCAAGAUCGUAAAAUCCACCCAGUUUUCAAAAUCAAGUUCCGCAAUAGGCUGAAAGGAAACUGAACUUAGAAGAGGCAUUGACAAAAUUCAUUGUAACUACUGAUAAGAGAAUGAAUGAUUAGGAUAAACUGUUAAGUUAGGUAGAUUUGAAUAUAAAAAUCCAAGCGGUGUCAAUUAAAAACUUGGAGAAUCAAAUGGGUUAGUUAGCUCAUGCUCUGGAUAGUCAUCCAUAAGGAGCACUACCGAGCGACACUGAGAUUAAUCUAGGAAGAGAUGGAAAGGAACAAUAUAAAGUUGUGACUCUAAGAAGCGGAAAAUAGCUACCUGAUAUAGUUAAAGGGAAUUCAAAGCCAAAAAUAGUAGUUGUGGAAGAAGAGGAAAUCAAGGAGAAAGAUGAUGCAGAGAAUACUCAGAAGUUAGAAGAUACAGGUUUGGAGGAUAAGUCAAAUAAUAACAAUCAAGACAGUAUAGUGCCUCUCGUGUCGUUUCCUCAGAGAUUUUAGAAAUCAAAAUUAGAUAAGCAAUUUGCCAUAUUUUUAGAUGUUUUCAAGAAGCUUCACAUCAAUAUACCCUUCACAAAAGCUUUGGAACAAAUGCUUAGUUAUGCCAAAUUUAUGAAGGAAGUCUUGUCAAAAAAGAAAAGAUUGGGUGAAUUCGAGAGAGUGACAUUAGCCAAAGAAUGCAGUGCUAUCCUACAGAAUAAGUUACCGUCGAAAUUAAAAAAUCCAGGGAGUUUUACUAUUCCAUAUAUGAUCGGUAAUCAAUUUUUAGGAAGGGCAUUGUGUGAUUUAAGGGCCAAUAUCAAUUUAAUAUCGCUAUUAGUUUACACUCAGCUAGGGUUAAAGGCACCAACAUCGACAAAUAUUAGCUUACAGUUAGCAGACAGGUUAGUAACGUAUCCGAGGGAUAUUGUGGAAGACAUUCUAGUUAAAGUCAAUAAGUUCAUCUUUCCGGCUGACUUCAUCAUACUAGAUUAUGAGGAAGAUAAGGAAAUUCAAAUCAUACUUGGUCAUCCGUUCUUAGCGACAAGGAGAACUCUGAUAGACGCGCAGAGAGGUGAAUUAUUAAUGAGAGUUCAAGAUCAGUAAGUCACCUUUAAUGUUUUCAAAUCAAUGAAGUUCCCAAAAGAAAGUGAAGAGUGAUUACAGAUAGACAUAUUUGAUGAAGUAGUGAAUGAGAGGAUCAAUGAAAGUUACUUAGAGGAUCCAUUAGAAGCUGCCCUGAUUGGUAUAGAUGCAUUGGAUGAGUUGGAGGGUAUGAAUUAUGUCAAGGUGUUAGACGCAUUACCAAUAUCUCAAAAAUUCAAAAACAUUUUGAUAUUCUUGACUGGCCCGAAGGAAGAGACAAGAAGUCCAAAACAUCAUUAGAAGAGCCACCGGUGCUAGAGCUAAAACAUCUUCCUUCUCAUUUAAGGUAUGCCUACUUGGAAAAUUCUGACACUAUCAGUUAUCGUUUCUGCCCACUUGAAUGAAUCUUAAGAAGAAAACUGUUAAGGGUUUUACGUGAGUAUAAAAUAACAAUUGGGUGGACCAUUAAAGAUAUUAGAGGGAUCAGUCCAUCAUUUUGUAUUCAUAAAAUUCUACUUGAGGAAGGAGCAAAGCCGAGCAUUAAGUAACAAUGAAGACUAAAUUUGAUUAUGAAGGAAGUAGUAAAGAAAGAAAUUAUAAAGUGGUUAGACGCUGGUAUUACCUAUCCAAUUUUCGAAAGUUCUUGGGUAAGUCACGUGCAAUGCGUGCCGAAAAAAGGGGGAAUGACUAUGGUUGAAAACAAGAAUAACGAGCUCAUUCCUACUAGAACAAUUAUAGGGUGGAGAGUGUGCAUGUAUUUCUGCAAGUUGAAUAAGGCUAUUCUCAAGGAUCAUUUUUCCUUGUCAUUCAUUGAUCAAAUGUCGGAUAGGUUGUCGGGUCAUUAGUUCUACUACCUUCUUGAUGGCUAUUCGGGACAUAACUAGAUUGCAAUAGCACUUGAGGACCAAGAGAAAAUGACAUUCACCUACCCUUAUGGAACUUUUACAUUCCAAAGGAUGUCUUUUGGUCUUUGCAAGUUGCAACGCACCGACUACUUUUCAGUGAUGUAUGAUGGCUAUUUUCUCGGAUAUGGUAUAGCAGAAUUUGGAUGUCUUCGUGGAUGAUUUCUUUGUUUUUAGGGACAUCUUUGACUUAUGCCUCAAUAAUCUAAUCCUAGUUUUGAAACGCUAUGUGGAGACUAAUAUGGUGCUCAAUUAGGAGAAGUGCCACUUCAUGGUGCAAUAAGGAAUAAUUUUGGGUCACAAGGUUUCUGCAGCAGGCUUAGAGGUAGAUAAAGUAAAGAUAAAAACUAUUGAAAAGCUACCUCCGCCAACAUCUGUGAAGGGAAUAAGAAUUUUUCUCGGAUAUGCGGGUUUUUUCCAACGCUUCAUCAAUGAUUUUUCUAAAAUUUCAAAACCCUUAUGUUCGCUACUCGAAAAAGAUGUGCUGUUUAAAAUGGAUCAGUCGUGCGUUGGUGCCUUCAAAGUGCUGAAAAAGAAGUUAGUCACAUCUCCAGUUAUAGUUGCUCCCGAUUGGACCUUGCCAUUUGAGUUGAUAUGUGAUGCGAGUGAUUAUGCAGUUAAUGCAGUGUUGGGGAACGGAGAGAUAAGAUCUUCCAUACCAUUUACUACUCAAGCAAGACUUUAGCAGACGCACAACUUAAUUACACCACAAGGGAAAAGGAAUUACUUACAGUAGUGUUCGCAUUCAAUAAGUUUCGAGCAUACUUGAUUGGGACUAAGGUAAUAGUAUACACAGAUCAUUUAACCAUAAAUUAAGUACUUGAUUGUAAAGAAGGAUGCAAAGCCAAGAUUAAUUCGAUGGCUCCUUCUCUUGUAAGAAUUUGACCUUGAAAUCCAUGACAGGAAAGGCAAGAAAAAUUAGGUAGCUAAUUAUUUUUCAAGGUUGGAAAAUUUGGAAACUCAGAAAAAGGAUGAAGUAGUGAUCAACGAGUCUUUUUCAGAUGAGGAACUAUUCUGAAUUACGACUAAAGUUCCAUGGUACGCAGAUUAUGUAAAAUAUUUAGUAAGCAAUGUAUUCCCUCCAGAUUUGAACUCUCAACAACGAAAAAAGUUCAUCUACGAUGUCAAUCAGUAUUUUUGGAAGUUCAUCUACGAUGUCAAUCAGUAUUUUUGGGAUGAACCAUUUCUGUUCAAAACUUAUGCGGAUCAGAUGAUAAGACGGUGUAUGCCAUGUGAAGAGAUGUAUAGCAUUUUGAGUCAUUGCAACUCAUCGGAGUAUUAGGGUUUUUCUGGCCUACAUUGUUCAAAGAUGCCCACUUCUUUGCUCUAAAGUGUGACUGAUGCCAAAGGGUUGACAAUAUUUCGAAAUGUCAUGCAUGAGAUGCCUCUCAAUACCAUUAUCAUAGUGGAACUCUUUGAUGUAUGGGGCAUUGAGUUUAUGGGGCCAUUUUCGUCGUCAUUCAACAACCAGUACAUACUAUUGGCAGUGGACUAUGCAUCAAAAUGGGUUGAAGCAACUGCAUUACCCACAACGACGACAUAGUAGUGUUGUGCAUCUUAUAAAAAAAUAUCUUCACCCGAUUUGGUACACCAAGGACCAUAAUCAGUGAUAAGAGCACCCAUUUUUGUAACAAGCAAUUCACUAAACUGCUCACCAAGUAUGGGGUUAAACACAAGGUUGCUACGGCCUAUCAUCCGCAGACAAGUGGCCAAGCAGAGGUUUCAAACCGAGAGGUCAAACAGAUCUUGGAAAAAGUUGUGAAUCCAUCUCGUAAGGAUUGGGCAAUGAGAUUAGACGAUGCUUUAUGGGUGUAUUGAAUGACUUACAAGAAUCCAAUCAGAAUGUCACCAUACAAAAUGGUUUGUGGAAAGGCUUGUAAUUUGCCAGUAAAGCUUAAACAUAAUGCGUAUUGGGCCAUUCGAAAGUUGAACUUUGAUUUAAAAGCAUUAGACGAGAAAAUAUUACUGCAAUUGAACGUAAUGGAAGAAUUCUGACAUCAAGCGUACGAGAAUGCUAAACUUUAUAAAGAAAAUGUUAAGAAGUGACAUGACAAGUGAAUCCUUGACUAAAAAUUUGAACCAGGACAAACCAUAUUAAUAUUCAAUUCUAGGUUGCGAUUGUUCCCUGGAAAGCUAAAAUCGAGGUUGUCAAGACUGUUUGUGAUUACAUUUGUAGCUCCACAUGGAGCCGUUGAGGUCGAGGAACCUAAUUCCAAGUGUACAUUCAAGGUUAACGGUCAAAGAUUAAAGCAUUACUGGGGUGGUGACAUCGAUUGAUCUAACUGAUAGAGCUGAUACUUGAGUGUAACAGGAAAGUCGAGCUGACGACUAUAAACUAAGCGCUAUUAAGAGGCAACCCAAUUUUUAUAUUUCAUUCAUUUAAUUUCUAUUUAAUUUAAUUCAUAUGAUAAUUUUUUUAGUUUAGUUCAAUUAGUACGCUUAAUUAUAUUUUCUUCGUAGACUAAUCUUUUUUUUAAUUGCUAUUUUAGGUCUAAAGAUGUUUGAAAAACAAAGGUUAGUCUACUAACAAAAAAAAACUGUUGGAAGUCCCGACGUCCAAAAUUAGUGCAACAGGAAGCCUCAACGUCAAGGACCCGACUCAAGCUCUGUUGCUGAAAGCCCUGGCGUCCAAAGCUAGUUUAAAUCGGAAGCCACGGCUUCCAACAACAAUUUUUUUUUAAAAAAAACUCAGCCUUACGGUUCAGGUGCUUUCUAUUCUAGCUCUCCUAUUUCUUUUCGAAUUCUAAGUAUCUCCUUCCUUCUUCAUCCAACCGAACCCUAGCCCCUUCACUAUUCAUCUACUCCUUCCCAAAUCGAAAAUAAAGCAUAAUCUAAGUGUAAGGAUUGAACAAGGUAGUAAUAACUCUCUCUCUCACUUUGAUUUCUCUCUCUAACCAAGGUUGCUCGUCAUCAGAACUGUCAAAGCAUUACAAUGAGAAGAAGUUUAUAAGUGUGGAGGCUUUUGAUCAAUAUACCAAACUUGCCAACAAGACAAUCAUCCCGGAGUGAGGACUGCGACCCGAUGAAACCCAAGAUGGCGAAAUUGCUAUUAUGAUUAUCAAAAGAGAUUGGUUCACUUUCACUGAACAUCCAGAAGCAUCGGUGGUUCUAAUAGUUAAAGAAUUUUAUUCUAACGCGAAGGACCACCACUUUUAUGACGUGUAAGUGAGAGGGAAAACCGUCUCUUUCCAUAGCGACACCAUUAAUAAUUACUACCAACUUCCAAGUGUGGAAGAUGAUGAAUAUGUUGCAUAUGUGCGAACAGUCCCAUACUAUGAGUGAGUUGAUUGUUCAGAAAUUAUGCCAGCCGGAUACAACAUGGAAGGUAAAAGAUAAAGCAGCCAUGAAAUUAUCACUUUCUACCUUAAGUUGUUAUGGAAAAGCAUGGUUCUCUUUUAUCUGUGCCAAACUAAUGCCUUCCACACAUGUAAGUGACGUGACAAAGGAGAGGGCUUCUUUACUCUACUAUUUGGUGCAAGGUAUAACCAUUAAUGUGAGAGAGGUGAUUGAGAAAUCUAUCUUUCUAUUGCGCAAGGAACAAAAGGUGGAUUACCACACCCAUCUUUGAUUUGUGGGUUAUGUUUGUAGGUGGGAGUUAAGUGGAAAAGUGAUGAACCGUUAUUGCCUCCAAUAGACCAUUCUUUGCCUCCGAUAGACCAUUCUUUGAUUUUCAGAUAUAAGGUUUGAGAUGGGGGUGAGAAUGUGACGCCCCCAAAUUCGGGUACUUGAAACCCUUAUUCAGUGCUUCACGAUAUCAAACAUUCAACAUAAAAUAAACUUAAACUUAGUAAAGUUAUUACAUCAAAGUGCUACUAAUCCCAGGUAUGUAGACCUUUAAAUGUUCAUUACAUGAUAGUUUAAUAUUUACAAACACGUAAACUAUCUAUUACAUCCAAUCCCAGCUAAUCUGUUACUUUUUCUUUCCCUUUGUCUUUUCCAGACCCUUCUACCCGAGUCUGCUCAGCUGAAAAUAUUUAUAAUAAAACAAGUAUGAGCAUUUAAUUGCCCAGUAAGUAAUAGCAUUCUUUAAGGCUCAACAAGAAAUAAAUAUUUUCUUUGAAGCAUGCUUUGACAGUGAAUCAAAACUGUAAAGCAAUAAAUCUUGAAUCAUUCACAUUUCUGGAUUAUCAUAUCAAUAUUGAAUAACUGAGAGGUCUUAAGACCAUGAACAUAUUUUUCUUUUUUUGAAAAGGUUCAAUCAGAAAUUUUAUCAGAUGAACCGUCUUAACUUACGAGCACGUAGGGUGAUCAGCCCUUUAUGCCCAGUAUUGAUCGAUACUAUCUUUUUCAGAACAAUUUUCAUGUUCUACAUCACCACUCCCAGAGUGCAAUAAAAAUAUCCCAUUUAAGGGUAUGUUCAUUCUCAGUUUUAGAUUCCAACUACAACAAUAUAGCUGGACAGCUUAAAUUAUGGCACAAUAAUAUUUCAAGACUUAAUAUAAAGAAAUUGAAAUAUUUUACAUCUGUGUCUGGCCAGAAGGAAUGGCUCAGAUUUCUAUACAACCUGCUCAUGCAUAUGAUAAUAUCUUACCCAAUCUUUUGAAGCUGAUUGGAAUAAAAAGAUUAUUCAAUCUUAUAAUAUUCAUAAAUAAAGAAAGACAGUUCAGAAUUUAGAGAACCUGUCCACAUAUGAAUAAUCUUAAAAUACUUGCUCAAUAAAGAGUAAGAUUUAGAUACUUGCCUCAUUUGUAGACUAUUGGUACAAUUUCAGUUUAACUUGUGUGUUCUCACAGAUCCUACACAAUUAUUUGUAUUCACAAACAUAUUAGCCAAUUAGCCAAGUCAUACAACUUGCAUUAUUAUUCAUAUAUCACACAGUCACAGUGAUCAUGUUUUUAGUUCAUGUUCUAUAUUUGAGAUAUUUCUAUACAUUUUUCAAAUAUUUCAUCCAUGUUCUUACAACAACCAUUUCUUUCUUUUAUAGGGUCUAACAUAAUUUCUGUUCAUGAACUUUUCAUGAUUUUAGUUCAUACUCCUUUUACUUCUUUUCUUUGCCAUAAGUAUACUUUGCAAUCUUCUUUAUAACUUAGGUAUUCAAGGUGAAUACAUAAGGUAUUUCAUGUAUUAAGUAUGAUUGUAUAUCAACACAACCCUCUCUGGCCUUAACAGUUUCAACAGCCCACUAAUAUGGCCUUGCUUGGGAUUCAUUGCUUUAAUUCCCUACACCUUUAAUCCCCUUGCAUUAAGCUUUGGAUAACAUGCAGAUGGUAUAUUCAAUUAAUACCAUAACACAUUAGCUAGGCAACUUACAGAAGUUUAGAAGUACUAACUAAGAGCUAAAAAAACUUCUAAACUUAAUCACUACCAUAACAGUUUUUUUUUGGUUGCUAGCUAGGACAACUGCUGCUACUUAAGAGCAGCUGCCCUUACCUUUCAAUCUUAGCUUUGUUAAUUAUUCUUUUGUUUUCCCCUAUUUGACCAAGUGUGUAGUUUCCUUUAAUGCACUAACAGCUCCUUAUCAUUCCUUCAUACUAACAGCCAUUUAUGCUUGGCUUUGUGAGAUCUAUUCAAUUUAAUGUGGCUUUGGUUGGGCUCAGUUUCAACUGAGUCUAACAAUCUUUACACUACAUUGGUAGUUAGCUAAGGCUUUCUGCCAUUGCUAACUAACAGCAGCUAUGCCCCUUCUUUGUUCAAUAUUUAAUGUUAAGAUAGCUUACAAGAUGUACUAACAUAUAAGUUAUACAUACCCACAACAUUAGUAGGUAUAAGGUAAACCAACAGGCAUUUAGUUGCUACAACAGUUUCUUUGCUGCUGCUCAUAGGUAGCAACAAAGUUUUCUCCUCCUUCACUUACAUUCUAAAUCUGCCAACACACUAUAAAGUCUAUACAUAUUUGCAACAUAAACUUAAACUAUACUGGAUGAUUAGCUUUUUAAAAUUACAACCUUCAAUCAACAUGAUUACCCAAACUGCUUUAGCAGUCAUUUACUAUCACCUGUUACUCGACAUUGAUGGCUAUUGCCAUCGGAUACUUCAUUCUUCUACUGCUAUAGAAUAACAUCCCUAACCUCUUGCUUUAGGUAACAUAUUUUCUUCAUGUAAUCAAAAUUAGUCUACACAAACUGUUGUAACAGUUAUACGUUGCUACCUAUUGCUGCCACUUCUUUUCUUUGAUCUAUGCUUUGCUACACCUUUAUUUUCACAUUCUUUGUUUGGUUGAGUUGAAUUUUGAAGCUACCAUAGAUUAGACAUUCACUUAAUAUUGAGAUAUAUUAGUUGGGCAAGUUUGGUUAGUUCAAAUGGGUUGACCGAGAGCCAAGGAAGACCCCAGUUAUUGCCUAACAUGUGACUGCUGUUGCCCCACUGCUGCUGCUGCUGAGCAGCAGCCCUGCUCCCUUUCUUUCCCAACUCUAGAAUAUUUUUCCCCAGAUUGCUAUGGUAGCAGCUCGCAACUGCUAGUUGUGUCAAUCACUGUUGUCAAGAACAGCAGCCCUAUAUCCCCAUUCAUCCAACUGCUGCUGUCGAGGCAGUAGCCUUGCACUUCACCACGCAAGAUUCAUUCCUUAUGGUAGCUCACAAAUUAUAGCAACAUGUAACUUAUAUAAACCCAAGACAUUAGCCUAUGUGAGUUAAACCAAAAGAAGUUUCUAAUUUAACAACUGAGAGCUUUAAAAGAGCCUCAGCCCAACGCCUCCCACUGCCACUGCUGCUGCUACAGGCAGCAGCUCUGUGGCUAACAUAGCUAGUUUGCUAAUUUCACGUUUCUAAUCUAUAUGCUUGUUUAUAACCAUUUUUAAAUAUGUAACACAGAACAUAUGGAAGUAUUUUAUGCAUAUAAAACCCCUCCAUUUCAGCCUUAGUAUGCUGCCAAAUCAGUACCCAAAGUUGUCUCAAUAUGAUAAAAUCUCAACUAUUAACUUUAGCCUAAAAUGUGCACAGCGUUUAAGUUUAACAUGCUAACAAACUUUAAUUAACAUCACAUACGAUAACUAGAUUAGGCCCAUGCUUUACCUUGUUCUAAUAUUCAAUUUUUAACCAAAAAGUUCUUUUAGAACUUUUAUCGAACACUUGGUAGGCAUAGUUUCAGGCUAUCAGUUUCACAACCACUUGUUUAUGUCACCAACCCAUUUCAUUCUCCUUAUAUCUCCUCAGCCCAACCUAAACCCCUUUGUUCUAACUCAGCCCACAGCAGUCAAAUACACAGUAAAGUUCAUAUCUAAUCAACGAAUUAGUAGCUAGUUAGUUCAUGCUACCAUUAUACAAUCACAUUAGACUCAAAUUGAUGCAAUAUAAACUGAACAUAGACUUCAAACAUAGCACAGUUGCUUAGAACAUUAGUUAGCUAGUAAGAAUACCUUUUGUUUUGAUUUCCUUCUUUAGUCCUUAAUCUCCAAUGUCCUCUACUAUAAUUGUGUUCUCCUUUAAUUUACUCAAACGUUUGCCCCAGCACAAUCAUGAACUUCAUUCAUCCAGGCUCUAGCUAAGUGAGGAAAUCAGGAUUUUCGUAUGAGAGAGUUUGACGGGUGAACAGGGAGAUAAGAAGAGUAACCUUGCCUUAUAUAAACUCAAUCCUUACUCCUCACGAAUUGUACCCGCUCUGCCAUUAAUAGGCAUGUUGAGUUUGCAAAGCUAUCCUAACACAUUCAUGCCAGCUCCUGCUAAUACCACUUGAAGGUUACGCCUUCAAUUACACUUCCCAGCUCAUGCUAAUCCUUUUUAAUUGCUAAGUUUUAAUCUAAAGCUGUGUUUGGUUAAAAUAACCAAUUAUCUUCCUUUCCGUACAUAUCACAUAGCAAAAACUACAUUUUAACUAUACUGAAU
rnacentral:lncRNA from 1 species